GAUUGAACGCUGGCGGUAUGCUUAACACAUGCAAGUCGAACGGAAACGGUACUAGCUUGCUAGUAGGCGUCGAGUGGCGGACGGGUGAGUAACGCGUAGGAAUCUGCCUGAUAGUGGGGGAUAGCCCGAAGAAAUUCGGAUUAAUACCGCAUAAUCUAUUCGUAGUAAAGUGGGGGACUUUCGAGCCUCACGCUAUCAGAUGAGCCUGCGUAAGAUUAGCUUGUUGGUAGGGUAAAAGCCUACCAAGGCGACGAUCUUUAGCUGGUCUGAGAGGAUGAUCAGCCACAUCGGGACUGAGACACGGCCCGAACUCCUACGGGAGGCAGCAGUGGGGAAUAUUGGACAAUGGGGGCAACCCUGAUCCAGCAAUACCGCGUGUGUGAAGAAGGCCUGAGGGUUGUAAAGCACUUUCAAUUGUGAAGAAAAGUUAGCGGUUAAUAACCGUUAGCCUUGACGUUAACUUUAGAAGAAGCACCGGCUAACUCCGUGCCAGCAGCCGCGGUAAUACGGAGGGUGCAAGCGUUAAUCGGAAUUACUGGGCGUAAAGCGUGCGUAGGCGGUUUAUUAAGUCAGAUGUGAAAGCCCCGGGCUUAACCUGGGAACUGCAUUUGAAACUGGUCAACUAGAGUAUGGUAGAGGAAAGUGGAAUUUCUGGUGUAGCGGUGAAAUGCGUAGAUAUCAGAAGGAACAUCAAUGGCGAAGGCAGCUUUCUGGACCAAUACUGACGCUGAGGUACGAAAGCGUGGGUAGCAAACAGGAUUAGAUACCCUGGUAGUCCACGCCGUAAACGAUGAUAACUAGCCGUUGGGGGGAUUUACCCUUUAGUGGCGAAGCUAACGCGUUAAGUUAUCCGCCUGGGGAGUACGGCCGCAAGGUUAAAACUCAAAGGAAUUGACGGGGACCCGCACAAGCGGUGGAGCAUGUGGUUUAAUUCGAUGCAACGCGAAGAACCUUACCUGGUCUUGACAUCCUGCGAACUUUCUAGAAAUAGAUUGGUGCCUUCGGGAACGCAGUGACAGGUGCUGCAUGGCUGUCGUCAGCUCGUGUCGUGAGAUGUUGGGUUAAGUCCCGUAACGAGCGCAACCCCUAUCCUUAUUUGCCAGCACAUCAUGGUGGGAACUAUAAGGAGACUGCCGGUGAUAAACCGGAGGAAGGCGGGGACGACGUCAAGUCAUCAUGGCCCUUACGACCAGGGCUACACACGUGCUACAAUGGGAAGGACAAAGAGCCGCGAAGCCGCGAGGUGUAGCUAAUCUCAUAAACCUUUUCGUAGUCCGGAUUGGAGUCUGCAACUCGACUCCAUGAAGUCGGAAUCGCUAGUAAUCGUAGAUCAGAAUGCUACGGUGAAUACGUUCCCGGGUCUUGUACUCACCGCCCGUCA
rnacentral:rRNA from 1 species